rnacentral:lncRNA from 1 species
CGCAGCAACAGGUCACACCACACGCCUUUUCGAAGGAACACCUUGCCUUUAAUUUCCAGAAGUGGUAUUACACUUAACAAAUGAACAAGGGAUAACAAUUGCUGUUUCAGUCCAGACCCAAUUUCACCAAAUAAUUUCACUCAAGAGCUAUUAUUGACAAGCACCGUGGGCUCAAUGGUGUCAAGUUGUACUUGUGGUUUCAACACCCCGCAGCAACCCACGUAGCCGCUGGGCCCUGGAUUAGGACCCCCAGUCUGGCAGUGCUUAUCUGCCCGUCUGAGUGAUGGAGAGAUGAGUAUCAGUCUAUACCUCAACUGCUUCAAGCCCGCCUGGGCUUUCUCCCUGGCGCCUUUGUCUGUGUCAGGGUUGGAGCAACGAAACUGAAAGAUCUCCAGAGUUUGAAAACAGAGUGAAAGAGCAAAUUUAAUAAAUGAGAGCUCAGCCUUGAAUCUUAGUCUUUAUUAAUAGAGUCAUGUCCCUCACACCCAAAUAACUAUCAAACUUCAAACCACAUGUACUGUUUUUCAGAGUUCGGGUUCUUUCCUGGGUUCAUCAUGAAAGGUGUGAGGGAUGAAGGGGAAAAGGGUCUGAGGAGUUGGCAGG